GACGAACGCUGGCGGCGUGCUUAACACAUGCAAGUCGAACGGAAAGGCCCUGCUUUUGUGGGGUGCUCGAGUGGCGAACGGGUGAGUAACACGUGAGUAACCUGCCCUUGACUUUGGGUUAACUUCAGGAAACUGGGGCUAAUACCGGAUAGGAGCUCCUGCUGCAUGGUGGGGGUUGGAAAGUUUCGGCGGUUGGGGAUGGACUCGCGGCUUAUCAGCUUGUUGGUGGGGUAGUGGCUUACCAAGGCUUUGACGGGUAGCCGGCCUGAGAGGGUGACCGGCCACAUUGGGACUGAGAUACGGCCCAGACUCCUACGGGAGGCAGCGGUGGGGAAUAUUGCACAAGGGGCGGAAGCCUGAUGCAGCAACGCCGCGUGCGGGAUGACGGGCUGCGGGUUGGAAACCGCUUUCGCCUGUGACGAAGCGUGAGUGACGGUAAUGGGUAAAGAAGCACCGGCUAACUACGUG
rnacentral:rRNA from 1 species